UAAAUUGAAAAGAGUUUUCCCCCUGGUUUGUUUAUCCCACAGGGAACUUCUGUGUUUCUUCUUGUUCUCCAAAGCUGACCCCAAAGCUCUCCAGGGCCUGUUUUAGGAAACAGCACCUGCCCUGCUGUUUAGAGUCUUAGAUGGAAAUGUACACACACAACACAUGUGCCUGUCAAAGCAUCCCAGAACUUCCUGCCCUAGGGAUCCAGGAGGUAGUCAUCCAGGAGGAGGUAGUCAUGGGGAAGGGAGCCCCUACAAUGAGACAAGUCAAGCCCCAGGUCUACACUAAACCAGAGCCUUUCUCACCCCAGUACCUCUGUUCUCCUUUUCCUUCCGCUGUGUACACAUUUGACCAGAACUGCAACAUUCAAACAUAAACCCAGAUCUGCCUGGAAAUCCUAAUUAAAGGCGUUCAGUUCCCAGGUGGUACGAUCACAUCCUGCCUAAAGUGUCUGGCUCACAUCCCACCAUGCAGAUGCUGAAAAGAGACUUUUCCCCAUUUAACGCCAAAACCUUCAUUUGGAAUUUCUUCAGGGGACAAAGGGGGAAAAAACAAUUCAGAGGUACCCAUAUGCAGAGGUCAGCCUACAACACGUUCAUUAAGGGAAAAGAGUGUGGUUUGUUUAUCUGUUUUUCACACUUUGAUUGCUGGCAUGGUGACUAUGGCUAUGAUAAAUUUUGUAACCAGACAGGAACUGGAGAAGAGAAUAAAUGCUGGUGCUCUGAAAUGACCUACCCAACUCUGUCAUCUGUAACAACCAGUGAUAACUCUCUUGUCUUGUAAAAAAGGGUUUGUACAUAACUUGUACAUGGUUUCAUUUUGUAUUUUUCGCAGAUUAAAAAUUUAUGUAUUUGUGUUCUAAAACAA
rnacentral:lncRNA from 1 species